GUCUACUUAACAGUAGAAGCUAAAAGCUAGUUAUAAUUGGUUCUGUGAAAACAGAAAAUUACUUAAUUGAAUGACCAAGCAAUAACUGAACUUUCAAAUAGACAACAUGUACUUAAGUUUGUAGAUUAAAAACUACUUUCCAGCCAGGUGUGGUGGUGUACACUUGUAAUCCCAGCAGCUGAAGCCUGAGGCAGGAGGAUCGUGAAUUC
rnacentral:lncRNA from 1 species